GGGGUAGGAGUGAAAUCCCGUAAUCCUGGACGGACCACCGGUGGCGAAAGCGCCUCUGGAAGACGGAUCCGACGGUGAGGGACGAAAGCUAGGGUCUCGAACCGGAUUAGAUACCCGGGUAGUCCUAGCUGUAAACGAUGCUCGCUAGGUGUGACACAGGCUACGAGCCUGUGUUGUGCCGUAGGGAAGCCGAGAAGCGAGCCGCCUGGGAAGUACGUCCGCAAGGAUGAAACUUAAAGGAAUUGGCGGGGGAGCACUACAACCGGAGGAGCCUGCGGUUUAAUUGGACUCAACGCCGGACAUCUCACC
rnacentral:ncRNA from 1 species